CGAGCGGGGCUGAUGGAGGCGGAGAAGCGGGGCUGAUGGAGGCGGAGAAGCGGGGCUGAUGGAGGCGGAGAAGCGGGGCUGAUGGAGGCGGAGAAGCGGGGCUGAAGGCUCGCACCGCGCUGGGUGUGACAGCGGCCAGCCGAGCGCUCCGCAGCUCCUGCGUGUGCGACCGCAGGUCCGGCACCCGGCCGACAAUGGACUGCUGCCGCUGGACAGCCGCUGGCACCCUGCUGCUGGCUUCCCUCAUCCUGAUUCAUAGGGCUGCAAAAGAAUAAUAAAAGAAGGUAUGUCAUAGAACACUGCGGAGUGUCUGAAGAUUGGAAUGUUGGUGACCUGUAGUCAUGGAUCUGUCAGCUGGACAACCUUCAGUGUUCAGAAGGUGCAUGAAUCAAUGUGAAGUCUGAGAAGGCCACAUGACCAGACAAAUAAUUCUCCAGAAGAGGAGUAUCAGUCUCUGCAUGACUAAAUUUUUGCUGAAGCAAUAAAAUCUUAAUCCCGUAUAACUGUAUCAUUAGGUGUCCAAAUAAAACCUCAUGGUUUCUGUUGCAUUGUCAAA